CAGCUCUCUUUCUAAACACACACAUAUACACAAUGGUGGGAAGGAAUCAGAUUUUCUCCCCCUCUCAAAUUCUUCUCUGUUGCACUGAGAAUCAGCCACUGGUCACCACCGCAUUCGCCAACGAGUUUAGCUUCCGGUAGCCCCUCUUCCUCUCCCUCCACAUGGUUUCUUCUUCCCCAUCUUUUCACAAGCUUUUCCCCUCUUCUUUUUCGGCAAAUUUCGGAGUGGCGCAUUCAAGACUCGAGGAUGGACAACCGAACCAAGCUAGAGAGAUUAUUUUGGAUUGUAGCUUUCGAGGUUAAGGAGUCGGUGACGGGGCAGUAGUCAACGUGGUCCACGGUCCCCCAGCUACUAUUUUUUUACUAAUAGACCCUUUGGUAUGUUGGGUAAAAUUGAAUUGUUUGAAGAGAAAACUCGGUAACUUUUAUGCUAUCAUAUUUUAAAUGAUGUAGGUUGCGAUCUGAUUA